GUAAGUGCCAAGGGCUUUUCCUUUUGCUUUCUGUGUGCCUUUGCCUUGUUGUGUAGCUGGAGAAGUGAGAACACCUUGCCACUGAGUGCAGCCGAGAUCCGGACUGCAGGAGCCAGGGGAUUCAUAAAACCAUCGCCGAGUGCAACAACCUCAAUAAACGACAAAAAUCUGGUCGCUUAGCAACUUAAACUGGCUUUUUUUUUUUUUUUUUUUUUCCCUAAACGGAUUGUGUUUUGGUGAAGUCUUCUGUCAAAUAUUUAGCGUGAGAAAAUGACAAGGGCCCUUUCCAUGUGAAGUAAACUGCAGCAUGAAGUCACCGCAUUAUCCUGGUGGUCGGGGCUGGAGCCGCAGCCCCGCGAUGGUUCUGGAGCUGCGGACAGGCCCCAGGGGAAGCAGUUCCAGGGCAUUGUUUUGGCUCUCGGAGAGGGCCCGGACCCCCGGGCUCCGGGGGCUGCUCCGGUUCGCAGUUGCGGUGCGGGAUGUGCGAGAGCCGGGCUCGGCAUCCCGUGGGAAACAGCUCCUCUGGCCGGUGGCCGGGCAGGAGCGGGGCCAGCUCUGCAAGCCCUGAUUGCAACCAGAUGUCCCGGGCGCUGCCUCCCCUGCUCCGGCUCCGCUCCGCCCCGCCGAGAGCGGCCCCUCCGGGGAAGGGGACACGGCGUGCCCGAAGGGACCCCCCGGCCGGGCUCUGGGGGGCUUUGGCUGAGCCUCACGGGGCGGGGGGUCAGGGGAUUGGGGUCCCCAGACUCCGGAGGGGUUAAAGACGGUCCUGACCCUCUCCCCGGUUUGUCCUGAGGGCUCCCACUGUCCCUGCUCGCGUUUUCUCACCGAGCAUGUGGUGAUGGAGCGAGGGCCGCCGGCUCUGCACACACCCUCCGUCACUGCCCGGAGCAGCCCCAAGGGCUCCAGAGUCCAACACACAAUUCUCCGCUUUUUCAGAGCCGCCUGUCGCUGCUGCAGGGCCUCGGGCGCCAGGACAAGGCUCGGUGGAUCCCUCGGCCGUGCAGCUGAGCCGAGAGGGCUCCGCACGGGCCGCUGCCCACGGGAGCUGCUGCAGCUGCCUCCGCACCCCCGGCUCCGCCCGGCUGCCGAACCCCCGGCCCGGGGACCCCACCGGCCUGCCCGUGCCCACUGGAGGGUGCUCUCUGCCAAGAUUUGCGCCGCGGAUGCUUCAAAGCAGCUUUUGGGCGGGAUUAUUUCCCAGUCGGGAGAAGCAGCUCCGGCUCUCCCGGC
rnacentral:lncRNA from 1 species